rnacentral:lncRNA from 1 species
UUUGUGAAUAUGAAAACAUUAUUCAACAUUUUAUGCAUUUAAUAAAUGUUAAGCAUUUAUUUAAAUACCUUAAUGAAAAGGCAUUAAAUAAAUACCUAAAUUUUAUUAUUUUUCCUAAGGUGUAAAAAUUUCAAUGCAUAAAGGAAAAUAAAACAAUCCUAACAAAAUUGGUUUCACUAAUUUUGGACAGUUCUAGAAUUUGCUGUGAUUUAAAUGGUGUAAACCGAAUUUUAAACUCUUUAUCUAUAAAAGGAAAACCUAAGGUUUAUCCAUAAACCCCCGGCCCAAAUUUUUCUCACUCUAUUCCUCCCUAACCUCUCUCCCUUGCGCUGGGCCCGCUGAACUGGCCCACCUACUCCUCCCCCUC